GACAGAGGUACCGAGCGUUAGGCGGAAUCACUGGGCUUAAAGCGUGUGUAGGCGGGUCGUUAAGUGCCUUGUGAAAUCCCACAGCUCACCUGUGGAACUGCUUGGCAUACUGGCGAUCUUGAGCCACUUAGGGGCAACCGGAACAAACGGUGGAGCGGUGAAAUGCGUAGAUAUCAAGAGGAACACCUGCGGCGAAGGCGGGUUGCUGGGCCGACACUGACGCUGAAGUGCGAAAGCCAGGGGAGCGAACGGG
rnacentral:rRNA from 1 species